UUCGCAAUUACAUUACCAGUUCUCUUUUACUACUUAGUACUACAUUAUUAGUAUUUAUCAGUGCUUGCUUACGAAACAACGAUGUUACCGUAUCCCGGUAGAUUGAGCGUAUUUUGUUUCUGCACUUCUUCCUCCUUCGCAUUCAUCCUGUUUCUUCAGUUGAUUCCGAUUCAUAGUCGCUUCAAUGUGUAUGAAAAUAUACUUUGGGUCUUCCGCUGUACUACCUCAUCUUGAACUUAGUGCUGAUGAUUUUUCUGAGAGGCUUUGCGCUUCAAAUUGCAAUUCGAGCUUCUUUCUUGGGCAUGAUAUUUGCAGCGGGCAUUUUUAUACAGCUCCUUGCUGCAUCAACUCUUCAACCAUUCGGAUGAUACUCCCAGCCACAGCCUGUUGUUCACGUUGACGAUUUAAGGUUUCUAUCCCAAAAUCAGUUCGAAGAGGUUCAACUCAGUUCAAUCAUACCUACUGGGAUGUGCAAAAAAAAGGUCAACAUGUCUUAAUUUUUUCAAUUUUUUAAGUUAAAAUGUUCAGGUUCAGGCAGUUGUUCACCAUGUUAAAAGAGAAAGAAAGGGAAUACAUUCUUAAGGUAUGGGCGUUUGCAAACAGGGAUCAGAGAUUCCCUUAUUUUAUCACAUCAUCAAAAGAUUGUGAAAAAAUAAGAUAUUGUGGGCUAAUUGAAAGUCUCUAUACUUCUUACUUAGUUUAAAAACAGCCGGUUGAAACUGACAUCUCACCUGCUAGUCAGUGGAUAUGGAAACAAAUGUAUAGCAGUGGUCAUUUGGCUUUAAAAAAUUAACUUUAC
rnacentral:lncRNA from 1 species